CCUACGGGAGGCAGCAGUAGGGAAUCUUCCGCAAUGGGCGCAAGCCUGACGGAGCAACGCCGCGUGAGUGAUGAAGGCUUUCGGAUUGUAAACUUCUGUUCUCAGGGACGAACCAAGUGACGGUACCUUAUGAAUAAGCCACCGCUAACUACUUGCCAGCAGCCGCGGUAAUACGUAGGUGGCAAGCGUUAUCCGGAUUUACGGGGUGUAAAGUGCGUGUAGGAGGGAUUUCAAGUCAGAUGUGAAAACCAUGGGCUCAACCUAUGGGCGGCAUUUGAAACUGUAGUUCUUGAGUACUGGAGAGGAAGAUGGAAUUCCUAGUGUAGCGGUGAAAUGCGUAGAGAUGAGGAGGAACACCAGUGGCGAAGGCGGUUUGCUGGACAGUAACUGACGCUGAGGUGCGAAAGCGUGGGGAGCAAACAGGAUUAGAUACCCUAGUAGUC
rnacentral:rRNA from 1 species